CUCGAUACUGAGGCUCAGGCACGAAAGUUAGGGGAGCGAAACGGAUUAGAUACCCGUGUAGUCCUAACUGUAAACGAUGGGUACUAAGUAUAGGGGGGAUUACUCCUCUGUGCUGUAGCUAACGCGUUAAGUACCCCGCCUGAGGACUACGGCCGCAAGGUUAAAACUCAAGGUAAUUGACGGGGGGCCGCACAAGCGGUGGAGGAUGUGGCUUAAUUCGAGGAUACGCGAAGAACCUUAUCCUGGUCUUGACAUGUACGGAUGGGCUGCCUGAAAGGGAUAGUCCCUGCCUUCGGGUGAAACGUACACAGGUGCUGCAUGGCCGUCGUCAGCUCGUGUCGUGAGAUGUCGGGUUAAGUCCCUUAACGAGCGAAACCCUUGUUCCUAGUUGCCAGCACGUAAUGGUGGGGACUCUAGGGAGACUGCCGGUGUUAAACCGGAGGAAGGUGGGGAUGACGUCAGGUCCUCAUGGCCUUUAUGACCAGGGCUGCACACGUCCUACAAUGCAGUGUACAGAGGGAAGCGAACUCGCGAGAGCAAGCAAAUCCCAAAAAGCACUGCCCAGUUCGGAUUGCAGGCUGAAACUCGCCUGCAUGAAGCCGGAAUCGCUAGUAAUCGUGGGUCAGCAUACCACGGUGAAUGUGUUCCUGAGCCUUGUACACACCGCCCGUCAAGCCACGAAAGUGGGGGGCAUCCGAAGUCGCCGGGCCAACCCGUAAGGGAGGCAGGCGCCUAAGAUGAACUCCGCGAUUGGGACUAAGUCGUAACAAGGUAGCCGUAGGGGAACCUGCGGCUG
rnacentral:rRNA from 1 species